GUCCUAGCUGUAAACUAUGGCGACUAGGUGUUGGCCUCCGUUCGGGGUCAGUGCCGUAGGUAACCUGUUAAGUCGCCCACCUGGGGAGUACGGCCGCAAGGCUGAAACUCAAAGGAAUUGACGGGGCCAGCACAAGCGGUGGAACAUGUGGUUCAAUUCGAUGCUACGCGAAGAACCUUACCCAGGCUUGACAUGUAAGUAGUAGGAACCUGAAAGGGGGACGACUCGUAACCAGUCGAGAGCUUACACAGGUGCUGCAUGGCUGUCGU
rnacentral:rRNA from 1 species